rnacentral:rRNA from 1 species
CGGGUGAGUAACGCGUAUCCAACCUUCCGUACACUCAGGGAUAGCCUUUCGAAAGAAAGAUUAAUACCUGAUGGUAUGAUGAGAUUGCAUGAUAGCAUCAUUAAAGAUUUAUCGGUGUACGAUGGGGAUGCGUUCCAUUAGGUAGUAGGCGGGGUAACGGCCCACCUAGCCUACGAUGGAUAGGGGUUCUGAGAGGAAGGUCCCCCACAUUGGAACUGAGACACGGUCCAAACUCCUACGGGAGGCAGCAGUGAGGAAUAUUGGUCAAUGGACGAGAGUCUGAACCAGCCAAGUAGCGUGAAGGAUGAAGGUCUUACGGAUUGUAAACUUCUUUUAUAAGGGAAUAAAACCUCCCACGUGUGGGAGCUUGUAUGUACCUUAUGAAUAAGCAUCGGCUAACUCCGUGCCAGCAGCCGCGGUAAUACGGAGGAUGCGAGCGUUAUCCGGAUUUAUUGGGUUUAAAGGGAGCGCAGACGGGUCGUUAAGUCAGCUGUGAAAGUUUGGGGCUCAACCUUAAAAUUGCAGUUGAUACUGGCGUCCUUGAGUGCGGUUGAGGUGUGCGGAAUUCGUGGUGUAGCGGUGAAAUGCUUAGAUAUCACGAAGAACUCCGAUUGCGAAGGCAGCACACUAAGCCGUAACUGACGUUCAUGCUCGAAAGUGUGGGUA